AAAAUUAGAGUGUUCAAAGCAGGCAGAUUUAUCCAUUCUGCCACCGAAUACAUUAGCAUGGGAUAAUGGAAUAGGACCCUGUCCUCCUAUUUACGUGUUGGUUUUUGAGGACCAGGGUAAUGAUUAAUAGGGAUAGUUGGGGGCAUUAAUAUUUAAUUGUCAGAGGUGAAAUUCUUGGAUUUAUGAAAGAUUAACUUCUGCGAAAGCAUCUGCCAAGGAUGUUUUCAUUAAUCAAGAACGAAAGUUAGGGGAUCGAAGACGAUCAGAUACCGUCGUAGUCUUAACCAUAAACGAUGCCGACCAGCGAUUAGGAGACGUUGAAUACAAAACACCACCAUUAACACGAUCGUUUUUUGCAAAAAUUGCCACAUACGCAAGUGUGUGGUUGUGUUUGAAGGAACGCUAUUGUCUUAAGGCCCGGUGAA
rnacentral:rRNA from 1 species